UUCACCCCCAACCAGUUUUGGGCCUUCCCUGAACCGGGUUUUUCUGGUUUUCUUUCGGGUUUUACUUUCUUUUCUUUUUUCUUUUUUCUUUUUUUUGUUCCUUUUCUGUUUUUCUUCCUUAUCUGUUUAUCUGUUUUCAUUUUUAUUCUUGUUUUUAAAAUUUAUGAAAAUAUUUUAAAUUUGUGAAUCUAUAAUAGCUAAAUAGUUCAUCCCCACUAACUUAUUUCUCUUGACAUGCAGCCUACCCACCUUAGAAGUUCCGCCACAUCAUCAACUCUAUCUUUUGCAUUAUGCCACGUCAUGUGUUCCGUUUCUGGCGUACCGUGGUGUGCAGCAUGUACGAGGAUGGCUUGCUAGCCCAUUAGGGCAUGUAGAAUGGUUGAUAAGAUAGUCUUAUCUUAAGUGUUGCAUGUAAUUUAAAGAUGACAGGAAAAACGUCUUUUUUUAUGAGUUCUCUCUCCUCCAUCUCAUCAUUUAUCCUAUAUGACACUCCUAAAAUAGCACCGUUGUACAUGCCCAUCUGCUAAUGGCGCACGUCGGGGUUAAUCGCCCAGACCGCUCAUCUUCACCGUUUCUCCCUCUUGACUCUCAAUCUUCCCACCACAAAUGCGCGCAUGAAAUAGAUUGGGGCAGGCGAAGAAACUGGUGGAGACCUCCGGCAACUGUCCUCCCCUUUAAAUAAUGUUCUGCAGAACCCCUUCUUCCCCACGCUAUUUUCCAAAAGAACGUGAUGGAUUUUCUUUUUCCUCACCAUUUUCUCGAUUCCCUUCGUCUCCACCAGUCCACCACAGCUGGGUCUACGGGCUUCUUCUCCAGAUUCGUUAUUUUUCUAUGCCGAUAAGUCAACGCGAGUUGAAUCCCCCCACACCGUCGACGCUCAUCUCCUUCCGUCCGCGACGUGUGCCCCGCCACCGCCUCAUCGCCGCGGACGCAUGCUCGGGGAAUAUGAAUGCCUCUACAGGUUACAGGUAAUUGGAUGGUGUUCUGGGAGUUAGAAAAUGAAAUAGGUGGAAUGAUUGAUGCUACAAACAUAUUGGCACUAUAAUUUUAUUCUUACCAGCUGAAGCUAAAUAUAAGUACUCUUACUUUGCUGGUAACUGCUAUCAACUGAAGCUUAUUCUGCAUGAUUUAUGAGCACGGGCAACAUUGAUCUCUAUCUAUAUGACUCCUCAACUUUUGUCCAUAUUUAGUUUACACGCAAAGCUUUACCGCCAUAUCAAUGUUCCUGGAUAAAUAAUGCCCUCUGUACUUCCAUAUUUAGUUUACACACAAAGCUUUACAACCAUCGGUUUUGUUGCUUUUGUACAUUCUUCAUUAUCUUUACCCAGAUUGCAGAUUUGCUCUGAAUUAGCAAAACUAAAAAAAGUUGCAGGCAAAGUGCUCUUACGAUUGUUUAUAUGGUCAGUACCAGAUGGUUUGAUGAGUUAUAUCAUUGCCUUUUAUUUUGAAUGACAAGCGUAAUUAAUGAUUCAUGCAUAGAUGUACAUACAUGUUUUACUACCCAGUUCUGAUGCAAUAGUGACAAAGCUUUUUGAUCCAUCGCUCUCUCAAGUAGUGACCAUCAGGAUUAUACAGAUCACAAUAGGCAUGCCUUUUUUAUCAUUCAUCACUGUAUCAGGUAUAUCUUUUCCUCCAAAGGGUUACAAAUGUUUUGACCUACACGUCUUAAGUUUAUGCUGGAAAUAUAUCUUUCAAUGCUACACUGUAGUUAAAGUUAAAAAUCGAGGAUCUAUUUUUAUAUUUAACACUAUCUCAAAUCAUGAGAACCUUAAGAUUUGCUUAGUAAAUUGCAUUGUUAAUGACGGUGUUUAUUUGGUAGUUAUCUCCAUAACACAUUUUGGCUUAUUUUUAUGCAUAUUAUUUUGCCACACCAAGAACUAUAUAACUCAUGCAGAGAUGUUUGUCAACGUACUGCAUUUGGUGUCUGCUUUCUCAUAAUAAAAAAUAAGAGGCUAAUGUAUCCUUUUGGUGGCACAAAUUUGGUUCAUGUCAAUAAGAAAAAACUUCGCACCUCAAUUUAACUUUUGCAAUAUAUCAUUUUUGUGACCUCCAGUUUCUUACGUUUUUGUAUGCAACUUGCAAUUGAUCAUCUCCAUAUAAUGCCUUAUAAACAUCUUUUCAUCAAUCACAAACCAUUACGUGUUGUUCACCAGUGUUUAAUGUAGGUCAUAUGUAAUCCCUUCCAACAUUGGAUUAGGCUAGCUAUGUUUAUUUUCCACACAAAAAGGCUAGCUAUGUACAUGUCGAUCUACAUUUAUUAGGUUGAUUUAUAAUAAAAUAAGCCUAUACCUGACAAUCAACACACUUUUUUUCACCUAUAUAGGUUAAGGAGAUGUAUCUGGCUACCUCGCCUGGAUGUUUUGUGCAAAUAUGUUAUGUAGUACAUACACUGUAUGAUUGCCUCCUUUUUUUUGUUAUCUCCCAUACUUUAUAGGGAUGUAGUAUGUUGUAUAUAUAUUGAACAAGAGCACCGAUGAAUUGACUUGAAGAGUUUUGUUUUAGACAGAUGGCAUUCCAAACCAUUUUCAGAUUUUCUGUUAACUAUGCUAUGAUGAUUACCCAUUUUGUAAAUGAUUUCAUUGCC